GCUUACGGCCACACCAUCCUGAACACGCCUCAUCGCGGAAGCUAAGCAGGGUCAGGCCUGGUUAGUACUUGGAUGGGAGACCGCCUGGGAAUACCAGGUGCUGCAAGCU
rnacentral:rRNA from 1 species